UACGUAGGGCGCAAGCGUUGUCCGGAAUUAUUGGGCGUAAAGAGCUCGUAGGCGGCCAGUUGCGUCUGCUGUGAAAUCCCGGGGCUCAACCCCCGGGCGUGCAGUGGAUACGGGCUGGCUAGAGGCAGGCAGGGGAGAACGGAAUUCCCGGUGUAGCGGUGAAAUGCGCAGAUAUCGGGAGGAACACCGGUGGCGAAGGCGGUUCUCUGGGCCUGUACUGACGCUGAGGAGCGAAAGCGUGGGGAGCGAACAGG
rnacentral:rRNA from 1 species